rnacentral:rRNA from 1 species
GGUGGCGACCGGCGCACGGGUGAGUAACGCGUAUGCAACCCAUCUAUCAGAGGGGAAUAACCCGGCGAAAGUCGGACUAAUACCGCAUAAAACAGGGGCACCGCAUGGUGAUAUUUGUUAAAGAAAUUCGCUGAUAGAUGGGCAUGCGUUCCAUUAGGUAGUUGGUGAGGUAACGGCUCACCAAGCCGACGAUGGAUAGGGGAACUGAGAGGUUGGUCCCCCACACUGGUACUGAGACACGGACCAGACUCCUACGGGAGGCAGCAGUGAGGAAUAUUGGUCAAUGGGCGAGAGCCUGAACCAGCCAAGUCGCGUGAAGGAAGAAGGAUCUAUGGUUCGUAAACUUCUUUUGCAGGGGAAUAAAGUGCAGGACGUGUCCUGUUUUGUAUGUACCCUGAGAAUAAGGAUCGGCUAACUCCGUGCCAGCAGCCGCGGUAAUACGGAGGAUCCGAGCGUUAUCCGGAUUUAUUGGGUUUAAAGGGUGCGUAGGUGGUUUUAUAAGUCAGCGGUGAAAGUUUGCAGCUUAACUGUAAAAAUGCCGUUGAAACUGUAAGACUUGAGCGUAAAUGAGGUAGGCGGAAUGCGUGGUGUAGCGGUGAAAUGCAUAGAUAUCACGAAGAACUCCGAUUG